rnacentral:rRNA from 1 species
GACGAACGCUGGCGGCGUGCUUAACACAUGCAAGUCGAACGGAAAGGCCCUGCUUUUGUGGGGUGCUCGAGUGGCGAACGGGUGCGUAACACGUGAGUAACCUGCCCUUGACUUUGGGGUAACUUCAGGAAACUGGGGCUAAUACCGGAUAGGAGCUCCUGCUGCACGGUGGGGGUUGGAAAGUUUCGGCGGUCGGGGAUGGACUCGCGGCUUAUCAGCUUGUUGGUGGGGUAGUGGCUUACCAAGGCUUUGACGGGUAGGCGGCCUGGGAGGGUGACCGGCCACAUUGGGACUGAGAUACGGCCCAGACGCCUACGGGAGGCAGCAGUGGGGAAUAUUGCACAAUGGGCGGAAGCCUGAUGCAGCAACGCCGCGUGCGGGAUGACGGCCUGCGGGUUGUAAACCGCUUUCGCCUGUGACGAAGCGUGAGUGACGGUAAUGGGUAAAGAAGCACCGGCUAACUACGUG